GCUUCCUGCUUGCGUCCCGCGGCCCCCGCGUGCGGCGGCUGGCCGCGGCCGUCCCGUAUCCUCGUGGGGGUCGUCGGGCCGGGUCGCCGGCCUCCGCGUCUGCGGCGGGAAGGCGCCUUUCACGGCGGUCGGAGAAAGCGACUUGGAUCUCCCUGUGGUUCCUCUACGGUGUGUGACCUUGGGUUAUCUACGCUCCUGCCGAGCCUCAGUUUCCCCAUCAGAACAAUGGCUCUGUACAAGACGGGGAGGCCUCUUUAGCCUGUACCCAAAGACUCUGUGCAGGGAUACUGAAGUGUCGAGUAUGGUCGCUGAUCACUUACGUCUGAGGGGACAGGUGGUGCGGCUUCCUCCACAGAAUCACUGGACUUCGUUACGUGUGAGUGUAAGCCAGGGGUUGGACAGACGACACCCGUGCCUCCCUGCUAUUCAUCCUCCCACCUCGUCGCACUGAUCCUGAAUGGGACAUGAAGUUUGCGGCAGUACCUCGUCGUUACCACUAGGUGGCACUAUCACAAAGGACAACGGAGGGUCCUGAAACCCAGAACUGCAAAGGGCAGGUGCCAGGCUGUUGUCAGGCCUGAUGGGUUUGGGACCAAUUCACCCUGUGAACCAUUGGCCCUUCCAUCGUCACCACCUCAGUUUUUUGGAAGCUGACUGGACCUUGGUGCUGGGCUACUGAUUCACUCAGUGAAUUUAGCAGAAAGCUUUAAUUGGUCAAGUUUAACUCCAAGCCACCCCUGGAUUUGUUCUUUCUCCUCCUGGAUUCAUCUCUCCAAUCUCUUUCAUGAGAUUUGCUGCCUGGUAUGACUCUUAUAAGCCGAGAAGCAAUGAAGAGAAGGGAAGAAUUAAAGCAGGGGAGGGGCUCAGGUUCCUGAUCUCUUCAGCUUGGCUGGGGAUGCCCUUCCCUGGGAGCUGCAGUGUCUCUGCUGAGAAGGCUUCCAGAAUCUCAGAGAUCUUCCUGGACUCCCGUGUCUCGGGAUGCCCUGCCCUUGGGACACUGCCCCACCUCAGAGCUGUGAAGAUCCUGGGCUUCAGAGUCCCGGGCUACCCUUCCACUGAGCCUCCUCCUGCUUUAAUAACUCAGCCCCUUCAAAGGUUUCUCCCAGCCCGUCCUCCCUCAGUUCACCAACAGUAUGCUUGAAGAAUCCCUUCUCUCAGUUUUCUCAGUACUGGCAACUUCAAACUAUAGCAACUGUUCUAGCCUAUCUGCUCAGCUCAGCUUCUCCUGGCUCAGCUGUCACCAACUGUCUUCUGUCUUCUCUUCUUACUCUGUUAGCCAAAUUCACUUUUAGCUCCUUUCUCUUCUCCCUCUGCUAGUCCUGUGUGCUUUCUCAGCCUCAGUUGGCUUUUUUUUUUUUUUUUUUAAUCUCCUGUUCCUAGAAAUCGAAGAGACAACUAACACUGAAAAUCACAGGGUCCGGCAGUUCUAACAGCUAAGAAUUCUUAAAAGGCCAGUUGACUAGCAACUGAGGAUCCUUUAAAGGCCCAGGCUCACAAGAUAAAUCACUACAACAGAGGGCUUGCUGAGCAUGUACAAUAAAUAAUACAGUCCAAGAAUACUUACCCAGAUGGAAAGAGACUUAGUGAAUGAAGGAUGAUCACAAAGGUAUAACACACUUGGAGCCUCUUUGCAAAAUGUCUAAAAUGUAUGUUUUAUGUGUAUAUCUGUAUGCCCAAAAUAUGACAGCUGAGCAGUGGUGGUGCACGCCUUUAAUCCCAGCACUCGGGAGGCAGAGGCAGGCGGAUUUCUGAGUUCGAGGCCAGCCUGGUCUACAAAGUGAGUUCCAGGACAGCCAGGGCUACACAGAGAAACCCUAUCUCGAAAAUACACAUAGUGGGCUAAGAGGUGGCUCAGUGGUUAAGAGCACUGACUGCUCUUCCGAAGGUCCUGAAUUCAAAUCCCAGUAACCACAACCAUUUGCAACGAGAUCUGAUGCCCUCUUCUGGAGUUUCUGAGGACAGCUACAGUGUACUUACAUAUAAUAAAUCUUUUUUUUUUUUUAAACGAUGCUGAGAAUAAAAGUUAUUUAAAAACACAUACUAUAAAAUUUACUAUUUGCAUUGAUACUAUUAUGUAAUAAUUUCCAAUAACUAGUUUUGGAAUUUUUUAUUUUAUGUGUGUGAGUGUUUGCUUGCAUGUACAUGUGCAGGUGUGGUGUGUGUAUCUGUAUCAAUGAGUGUAAUAUCUGUGGAGGCCAGAAGAAGGCAUUCUGAAAUUGGAGUUGCAGAUGUUUGUGAGCUGUGGUUGCUAGGAAUCAAACUGGAGACCUCUGGAAGGCAGCCAGUGCUCUUAAUCAGAGACAUUUUCCAGCCCCAGCCCAAACUUGAAGAGACAAGGGGCCUCUGGUCCUUGAAGAGGAGAAAUACUAACAGGGAGAAGCACCUGGUUAUUGGUAAUUGUCCUUUUACACAAAAUCCGGGCAUUUCUGUCAGGAUAAUGUAUUCAGAUGUGCUGACUAUAGUUCUCUGUGUGAUUGGUAUUUGUAGAUACAUAGUUUUGUUUCUUCCUUUGGAGGCACAUUUUGAAUCCUCUCUGCUUUGUUACUUUGUGUUUUAAAGUUGGUCUUCAUGAACACAAGUAUUACUCUGGUAACAAAAAUUUAAAAUGCAAAACACUUUAAAUAAAGGAAAUAUAUUAAUUUUAAUGUC
rnacentral:lncRNA from 1 species